GCGUCGGUGGUGCAACGGUUGGCAUACGCUAUCAGAAAGAGUGCGAUCUGGGUUCAAAUCGCGGCUGACGCA